rnacentral:rRNA from 1 species
ACACAUGCAAGUCGAACGAUGAUGCCCAGCUUGCUGGGUGGAUUAGUGGCGAACGGGUGAGUAACACGUGAGUAACCUGCCCCUGACUCUGGGAUAAGCGUUGGAAACGACGUCUAAUACUGGAUAUGAUCACUGGCCGCAUGGUCUGGUGGUGGAAAGAUUUUUUGGUUGGGGAUGGACUCGCGGCCUAUCAGCUUGUUGGUGAGGUAAUGGCUCACCAAGGCGACGACGGGUAGCCGGCCUGAGAGGGUGACCGGCCACACUGGGACUGAGACACGGCCCAGACUCCUACGGGAGGCAGCAGUGGGGAAUAUUGCACAAUGGGCGAAAGCCUGAUGCAGCAACGCCGCGUGAGGGAUGACGGCCUUCGGGUUGUAAACCUCUUUUAGUAGGGAAGAAGCGAAAGUGACGGUACCUGCAGAAAAAGCACCGGCUAACUACGUGCCAGCAGCCGCGGUAAUACGUAGGGUGCAAGCGUUGUCCGGAAUUAUUGGGCGUAAAGAGCUCGUAGGCGGUUUGUCGCGUCUGCUGUGAAAUCCCGAGGCUCAACCUCGGGCUUGCAGUGGGUACGGGCAGACUAGAGUGCGGUAGGGGAGAUUGGAAUUCCUGGUGUAGCGGUGGAAUGCGCAGAUAUCAGGAGGAACACCGAUGGCGAAGGCAGAUCUCUGGGCCGUAACUGACGCUGAGGAGCGAAAGCAUGGGGAGCGAACAGGAUUAGAUACCCUGGUAGUCCAUGCCGUAAACGUUGGGCGCUAGAUGUAGGGACCUUUCCACGGUUUCUGUGUCGUAGCUAACGCAUUAAGCGCCCC